rnacentral:misc_RNA from 1 species
AAAGUCGUAACAAGGUUUCCGUAGGUGAACCUGCGGAAGGAUCAUUAACAAAAUAACAUGUAAAUGUAAUAUUUAUAUAUAUAUACGAGCAAUGCAGUCUCUUUUGACUGGCAUAUAAAAGACACAACUUUGUAGUAAUAAAAACAUGAAAAUUUAUAUACAACUUUUAACAAUGGAUCUCUUGGCUCUC